rnacentral:rRNA from 1 species
UACGAAGGUCCCGAGCGUUGUUCGGAAUCACUGGGCGUAAAGGGAGCGUAGGCGGCGCGGUAAGUCAGAUGUGAAAUCCCACGGCUCAACCGUGGAAGUGCAUUCGAAAACUGCAGGGCUAGAGUCCUGGAGAGGAAGGUGGAAUGCUUGGUGUAGAGGUGAAAUUCGUAGAUAUCAAGCGGAACACCGGUGGCGAAGGCGGCCUUCUGGACAGUGACUGACACUGAGAAACGAAAGCUUGGGUAGCGAACGGG